UACGUAGGGUGCAAGCGUUGUCCGGAAUUAUUGGGCGUAAAGAGCUCGUAGGCGGUUUGUUGCGUCGGCUGUGAAAUCACGAGGCUCAACCUCGGGUCUGCAGUCGAUACGAGCAAACUAGAGUGUUGCAGGGGAGACUGGAAUUCCUGGUGUAGCGGUGAAAUGCGCAGAUAUCAGGAGGAACACCGGUGGCGAAGGCGGGUCUCUGGGCAACAACUGACGCUGAGGAGCGAAAGCGUGGGGAGCGAACAGG
rnacentral:rRNA from 1 species